UGUUUUAUUGUUCUUUAUUGUUUACAAUAAUUGCCCAAUAUGCCAAGUAAUAUUUAGGCCCAUUUCAAACUUAUCAUGCAAUCGGAAACAUAAAAACAAAGUCAGCAUAUUGGGCAAUUAUUGUAAUGCAUAUGGCUGCACAUUACAUUCUCAUUUUAUUCAUAUCAGUACUAAUUAUAAGUAUUACAUAAAAAUAUAUACAUAGACACAACUUUGCUAUUACAUUUCUAAAUUGUAAAAGCUCACUUUUUUUAUUUAGUCUUAAGCUAAAAAGGUCUCAUUGUUUCUAUUAUGAAACUUAACCAGAGUUAAGGGUUUUACACCUUUCACUUGUUUGUAAAACACUUCGAGCCACUACUUGUAUGAAGAUGCUCUAUAAAAUGUAUGUAUUAAUACUAUUAAAAACAUUCA